rnacentral:misc_RNA from 1 species
AAGUCGUAACAAGGUUUCCGUAGGUGAACCUGCGGAAGGAUCAUUAAAGAGAAUAAGGGGGUCGCGCGGCGUCAAAACCCGCCGCGGCCCCCCCAUCUCCCAAACCCCCUGUCUACCGACCUCACACACAUAAAGUACGCAAUAAAAAGUCGUCCUUAGCGGGGCGCACUACAAUAAAUGUACCAAAAAACAAAA